rnacentral:lncRNA from 1 species
GAUUUAACAGCGGCGCUCGGCAAGGAGGCGUUGCUUUUCUCUGAACUCCUCUGAGUUCUGCUCACCAUGGAGACCGACCACUUAUUCCAGCUCACGGGUGUCAAAUCGCACGUUAAUCCCCGAAUCCGCGAGCUGCAAAUUGCAGGGUAACACAGGAGAAGCCAUUUGGUCCUUUCAUUGUUUUCAGAAAGAGGCAAAGACCGUGUUUAUCAGAGAUGCUGGAUGGAAUCUGAUCAUUCCUCGCUUCUUCUCCCACUUUUUACAGCCCAGAGUCCAGGUCUCUGUUUCUCCCCCACAUUUAUUUGGCUCUAGAAUCUCUGGAAAGAAGCUCUUAUAGGCGUUUCCUGCGAUUGUGUGGCCUAAGCACAUUUGGAUUUCAUCUUGUUCAUCCACCACCCGCGGCGGGACUGACAUCUAUUUUACACCCAGGUAAUAUCGGCAGCAAAAUCAUCAACUGUCACAACUGUACACACAAAUACACACCGGAUAGAUUGCUCGCCAU